rnacentral:rRNA from 1 species
UACGGAGGGUGCAAGCGUUAUCCGGAUUCACUGGGUUUAAAGGGUGCGUAGGUGGGCAGGUAAGUCAGUGGUGAAAUCUCCGGGCUUAACCCGGAAACUGCCAUUGAUACUAUCUGUCUUGAAUACCGUGGAGGUGAGCGGAAUAUGUCAUGUAGCGGUGAAAUGCUUAGAUAUGACAUAGAACACCAAUUGCGAAGGCAGCUCACUACACGAAUAUUGACACUGAGGCACGAAAGCGUGGGGAUCAAACAGGA